CCAUUGGCAAUAGCCGCUGGUCUCUAUAUUCACUGUGCCUUCAUUGUGUUUCAGUUUUCUCUGCUCUUCUGAUAUUAUUUUUAAAUUUUCUUUAGUUUUUAGUUUCAAUGAAAAAAUGUUUUGUGGAGGAAGAUGAGAUCGCGGUGAUGACUCAGGAAAUUCAAGCUCAACAGACCGGAAUGCAGGCUUCUCUUUUUUCUAGAGAACUUUGCGUGUCGACUUUCCCGCUGACCUGAGCGAUCUUCCUUCGCAAUCUUUAAACAGUUUUUCUCUUAAUUUUUAGCCGUAUCAAAUUGACUUAUUGUUUCUUGUUUUGGAAUUGAUGGAAUUGGGGAAAUUAAGGUUACAAUGAGGAUUCACAGCUCCCUCUUCUGAGUUAAGUUGAGGAAAUCUGCUGGCAGAAUCGAACCUAAGACUUUUAGCCAUCACUGAUUUACUGUUGCUGGAAAUCGGAGAGUGCUAUGAGGAUUCACAGCUCCCUCUUCUGAUCUAUCAUUUGAGGAGAUCGGCUGGCAGAAUCGAACCUAUGACUUUAUUUGCCAUUGCUGUGUAAACUCCUUUCCUAUUUUUAUUGUCUUAGUUAAUUUUAUAUCAUCAUAGUUGUGGAUAAGGAUGAAGCGAUAAUACUAUAAUCCAACACUUGAUCUGAGACUUUUAUUGUCAAGUGAUGUUCGUGUAUUGACUUCUGAAUCUGCUGACGAGUGUAUUGUAUUGUGUGCACAUUCACAUGAAAUUUUUGCUGACAGUUACUGCAUUGUUGGAUUGGAUUUCACUCCAAACAACAUGAAUAUGAUUAUGAAGCGUGUUUGAAUGACUUGGAUUUGAGUUUGUUUAAAAUCUAUAAUUUGAAAUGUCAAGCGCUUGGUUACUUGGAUUUGAAUGAAAUUUAUUUAAAUGCACUUUGAAACGUGCCAUUCCAAAUAUACUCUACACAGUAGAUAAAUUUAAUAUCUUAACGUUAUAAUCGUUCAUUUUACUCAUAUUUUUAUGUAGUCAGGUAUGUUUAUCGAUUAGUGGUUGAAAUGUUGUUUAUUGACAUGUUGCUUAGCUCUUUCAUCGUAUGUCUAUCAAGUUGUUAUUUGUACAAUUGAACUACAAACGUUUCUGAAUCAUCAAGUGAUGAAUCAUGGAAAAUCUUAGGACACCUUCCUACAUAGCUUCUUUAGCUAUGGAUGAGAUUAACAUUUCCGUUCUGAUGAUGAUGAUAACUUUACUGUUAUAUAUUGCAUUGUGUUUUCUGUGCAUAGGUCGCAAUGACGACAUUUAAAAUUCAAGCUCAACAGACUGGAUUACAAUCUCUCUGUAUGAGAAGAUUGUGUGUCGACAACCACUUCUUUUACUGAGCGAUCUAAUCUGCUUUUGUUGCAGUAUUUGUUUUUAAGAUUUGGGUAUUUAUGCUUUUAAUUUGCAUUUAUGUGUUGCAAGAUAGAAACAUAUAUAUUUACCAAAAUGUCACGUGCAUUUAGUUUUGCUGAAUGUCUCUAUGGUUAUUUAAUUUUAGAUGGAUGUAGCAUUCAAUGAAACAUGUAUAUUCUUUUAUUCUGUCAAUCAACUCGUUGAAGUUUCUGUGCUUUAACCUUUUUGUUUACUAUUUCUGUUUGUGAAUUUCUGUUGGCUUCUGUAUCAAACUACCCAACAUCUGUCUAUGCAUUCUCUCCCACACUCAAAAGCACAAGGCUGGCUUCCGUAUCUGCAGGCUUCAUUUUUAAGGACUUGGCAUUGCAAGGUUGAAGUGGGCAUCUUUGUAGCUUGUGCAUUUGCGAAGUUAGUAAUUUAAAAGAUUAAAAUAGUGCAGUGAAUCAAACCAUAUGAGUUGUUUGCCUCUUAGAUGAAGUCACGAUGCCUGUUCAGUUUCUCUGUUCUGAGCUGCCAGAGUUAAAUUCCGCUUCAUAUGGAUUGGGGAUUUCUGUGGCACAAUUAUAUGUUUUAAUGAACAAGGAUGCUGAUUGCCUGGUUAUGUAAUUGGGAAGGAUUUGAAAUGUUGAUAUAUCGUGCAAUUGUUUAGUUACAUUAUACAUUCAGAUUGACAAAUGACAAGGACUUCAUUGAAUUUUAUGUACUAACUGAAACUUCUAGAAAUGUAAUACGAACCUUUCAUUCUUAUCAUGAGUUCAUUUAUUAUUCUAUUUA